rfam:Ixodes scapularis strain Wikel colony gcontig_1107728665862, whole genome shotgun sequence.
CCCUGAUUAGCUUAGUUGGUAGAGCGCUCCACUGGAAAAAUGGAGAGGUCCUGGGUUCGAUACCCGGACCAGGCG